GGUGCUCCUCGACUUCGUGGAUUUCGAGGCUCGGUCCCAGGUGCCUCUCCCAAUCCCACUCUUCUUCGUGGUUCCGAAGGAAACGAUCCAAAAUGAUUCUGGCACUUGUUGCAUUGCUCGCUUCCUUUUUCUUCGUCAAUUGGUUCAUGCUUCUCCGCUUACAAUUUCAAGUUGCAGGUGAACUCUCUUUAAUUCUGGCGGUGC
rnacentral:lncRNA from 1 species